ensembl:snRNA U6 U6 spliceosomal RNA
CUUCAGUAAGCAAAUGGAUAAAUCAACUAAUUGGAAUGAUACAGAGAAGAUCAGCAUGGCCCCUUGCACGAGAAUGACAUGCAUAUUCAUGGAGUGUUCCAUAUUUUU